UAACGCGUGAGGAACCUGCCUUUCAGAGGGGGACAACAGUUGGAAACGACUGCUAAUACCGCAUGACACAUAGAGAUCGCAUGGUUUUUAUGUCAAAGAUUUAUUGCCUUUGGAUGAGCUCGCGUCUGAUUAGCUGGUUGGCGGGGUAACGGCCCACCAAGGCGACGAUCAGUAGCCGGACUGAGAGGUUGAACGGCCACAUUGGGACUGAGACACGGCCCAG
rnacentral:rRNA from 1 species